rnacentral:rRNA from 1 species
CAAGCGUUGUUCGGAUUUACUGGGCGUAAAGAGCGCGCAGGCGGUCGAUCAAGUCGAGUGUGAAAGCCCCCGGCUCAACUGGGGAGGGUCAUUCGAUACUGAUCGACUCGAAGGCAGGAGAGGGUAGUGGAAUUCCCGGUGUAGUGGUGAAAUGCGUAGAUAUCGGGAGGAACGCCUGCGGCGAAGGCGGGUUGCUGGGCUGAUACUGACGCUGAGGCGCGAAAGCCAGGGGAGCGAACGGG